rnacentral:rRNA from 1 species
UACGAAGGGUGCUAGCGUUGUUCGGAAUUACUGGGCGUAAAGCGUACGUAGGCGGCUUAGUAAGUCGAUUGUGAAAGCCCCAAGCUCAACUUGGGAAUUGCAACCGAAACUGCUUCGCUGGAGUUUGGUGGGGGAUGGUGGAAUUUCUAGUGUAGGGGUGAAAUCCGUAGAUAUUAGAAGGAAUACCGGUGGCGAAAGCGACCAUCUACGCCAAUACUGACGCUGAGGUACGAAAGCGUGGGGAGCAAACAGG